AGGCAGCAGUGGGGAAUUUUGGACAAUGGGCGCAAGCCUGAUCCAGCCAUGCCGCGUGCGGGAAGAAGGCCUUCGGGUUGUAAACCGCUUUUGUCGGGGAAGAAACGCUCUGGGUUAAUACCCUGGGGUAAUGACGGUACCUGAAGAAUAAGCACCGGCUAACUACGUGCCAGCAGCCGCGGUAAUACGUAGGGUGCGAGCGUUAAUCGGAAUUACUGGGCGUAAAGCGUGCGCAGGCGGUCUUGCAAGACAGAUGUGAAAUCCCCGGGCUCAACCUGGGAACUGCAUUUGUGACUGCAAGGCUAGAGUACGGUAGAGGGGGAUGGAAUUCCGCGUGUAGCAGUGAAAUGCGUAGAUAUGCGGAGGAACACCGAUGGCGAAGGCAAUCCCCUGGACCUGUACUGACGCUCAUGCACGAAAGCGUGGGGAGCAAACAGGAUUAGAUACCCUGGUAG
rnacentral:rRNA from 1 species